CCUUCAGUGUAACCGCUGAUUCCUAUUUUUAUGCUAUAGUGUCAUUAGUGUAAUUAGCUUAGUAAAUUUCUUUUGGUUGUGUUUUUAAAUUCUGUUCGGAAGAAAUAGCAAGUGGAAUGUGUGACAGGGCGAAAGUGAACAACGGUUAAACGGCAGAGGAGAGCGUGAGUUUUUUUUUUGUAAAAGUAUUUCUCCAGCUUUCGUUUUAGGAACGUUGCCGCAGUCCAUGGAAGCGCUUUCAUCGCUGUUUCAACGCAUUUAUUAAAACAAAUCAAAGGAAGGCCUCAGGGGCUUCGUCGCUUAAGAGAGGCUGUGCGCUCUCCCUUAUGCCCUACUGGCAACCAUAAGCGCUUACGCCGCGCAUAAGAACCAGCCCUCUUAAGAACAAGGCACAAAAGGGAAGAUGCGAGGCUGGUCGCUCUGACGUUCUUUUAUGCUUUCUACUUGCGGUUGCUUUCGCUAAUGCACUUGAAUAACUGACCUGCCAUAACGAUCGCGGCGCACAGUUUUUACAUUCCCUUUUGCAUAUUUAUUUAUUAUUAUUAUCUAUUUGCCUAACAUAAAAGCUGGAGAUAUGUACCCUUCCCUUCUUUCAAUUUGUAAGUUAAAUUUCAAUCUAAAGUGUAUUAUUAAGAGUUAAUCAUUUAUUAGUUUACUAGUGCGAUGCAUGUGCUAUUGCUCAAUAUGAAAUAUAGGAUUUAACAUGAA